GUGUCAGCCGCCGCGGUAAUACAGAGGUGGCAAGCGUUGUUCGGAAUUACUGGGCGUAAAGGGCGCGUAGGCGGCCAUCUAAGUCAGACGUGAAAUCCCCCGGCUUAACCUGGGAACUGCGUCUGAUACUGGAAGGCUCGAGUUUGGGAGAGGGAUGUGGAAUUCCAGGUGUAGCGGUGAAAUGCGUAGAUAUCUGGAGGAACACCGGUGGCGAAGGCGGCAUCCUGGACCAACACUGACGCUGAGGCGCGAAAGCUAGGGGAGCAAACGGGAUUAGAUACCCUCGUAGUCC
rnacentral:rRNA from 1 species